AUACGGAGGGUGCAAGCGUUAUUCGGAAUCACUGGGCGUAAAGGACGCGUAGGCGGGUUGGCAAGUCAGAUGUGAAAUCCUACAGCUUAACUGUAGAACUGCAUUUGAAACUGCUAACCUAGAGUAUGGGAGGGGGAGAUGGAAUUAGUGGUGUAGGGGUAAAAUCCGUAGAUAUCACUAGGAAUACCGAAAGCGAAGGCGUUCUCCUGGAACAUAACUGACGCUAAGGCGUGAAAGCGUGGGGAGCAAACAGGAUUAGAAACCCGAGUAGUCC
rnacentral:rRNA from 1 species